CCUGGCGGCCUUAGCGCGGUGGUCCCACCUGACCCCAUGCCGAACUCAGAAGUGAAACGCCGUAGCGCCGAUGGUAGUGUGGGUUCUCCCCAUGCGAGAGUAGGGAACUGCCAGGC
rnacentral:rRNA from 2 species